rnacentral:rRNA from 1 species
ACGAACGCUGGCGGCGUGCCUAAUACAUGCAAGUCGAGCGCAGUUUUUCUGGUGCUUGCACUAGAAAAACUUCGCGGCGAACGGGUGAGUAACACGUAAAGAACCUGCCUCAUAGACUGGGACAACUAUUGGAAACGAUAGCUAAUACCGGAUAACAGCAUUAACUGCAUGGUUGAUGUUUAAAAGUUGGUUUUGCUAACACUAUGAGAUGGCUUUGCGGUGCAUUAGCUAGUUGGUGGGGUAAAGGCCUACCAAGGCGACGAUGCAUAGCCGACCUGAGAAGGGGGACGGCCACACCGGGAACGGGGAACGGGCCAGAACCCUAAGGGAGGGAGCCGGAAGGAAACUUCCGGAAUGGGGGGAAGCCUGACGGGGGAACGGCGCGUGGGGUGAAGAGGAAUUCCGGUCGGAAAACUCUUGUGGUUGGGGAGAAAGGAUGUGGAAUUAAUUAUACCCGGUAGGGAGGUUACCAAACAAGAAGGCACGGCUAACUUCGGG